rnacentral:misc_RNA from 1 species
GUAUUGAUUGCGUGUGACCGCAAAAUAAAUAAAUAAAAAGAACAUUCUACACUGUAUCAAGUUUUAUGUGAAAACGCAAGCCCUCCUGCAAAGGGGGGCCCACGCGGUGAUGCACAAAGGGGUAAGAUGGAUAUUUGUAUGUGAGAGGACUCGGGCGUGCACGACAAAAAAAAAGCCAGCGACAACCCUCGUACCCCCAUUGUACGAUAAUGAUCCUUCCGCAGGUUCACCUACGGAAA